rnacentral:tRNA from 1 species
AGGGGCUUAGGAUAACUAAGACCAAGAGCCUUCAAAGCCCUAAGUGGGAGUGAAAACCUCUCAGCCCCUG